AUACGUAGGUGGCGAGCGUUGUCCGGAAUUACUGGGCGUAAAGCGCGCGCAGGCGGCUUGUUAAGUCAGGUGUCAAAAUGCGGGGCUCAACCCCGUAUCACACUUGAAACUGGCAGGCUUGAGUGCAGGAGAGGGAAGUGGAAUUCCUAGUGUAGCGGUGAAAUGCGUAGAUAUUAGGAGGAACACCAGUGGCGAAGGCGACUUCCUGGACUGUAACUGACGCUGAGGCGCGAAAGCUAGGGGAGCAAACAGGAUUAGAUACCCUGGUAGUCCUAGCCGUAAACGAUGGGUACUAGGUGUUGGGGGUGACAAUCCUCCAGUGCCGCAGUUAACGCAUUAAGUACCCCGCCUGGGGAGUACGGCCGCAAGGCUGAA
rnacentral:rRNA from 1 species